rnacentral:rRNA from 1 species
GGUGAGUAACACGUAUGGAACCUGCCCGUAGCAGGGGGAUAAGCGGAAGAAAUUCCGUCUAAUACCGCGUAAUAACUCCGAGAGGCAUCUCCUGGGGUUUAAAGGGUAACACCGGCUACGGAUGGCCAUGCGGCGCAUUAGCUAGUUGGCGGGGUAACGGCCCACCAAGGCGACGAUGCGUAGGGGUUCUGAGAGGAAGGUCCCCCACACUGGUACUGAGACACGGACCAGACUCCUACGGGAGGCAGCAGUGAGGAAUAUUGGUCAAUGGGCGCGAGCCUGAACCAGCCAAGUCGCGUGAGGGAAGACGGUCCUAUGGAUUGUAAACCUCUUUUGUCGGGGAGCAAAAGACGCCACGCGUGGCGUUCCGAGAGUACCCGAAGAAAAAGCAUCGGCUAACUCCGUGCCAGCAGCCGCGGUAAUACGGAGGAUGCGAGCGUUAUCCGGAUUUAUUGGGUUUAAAGGGUGCGCAGGCGGAAGAUCAAGUCAGCGGUAAAAUUGAGAGGCUCAACCUCUUCGAGCCGUUGAAACUGGUUUUCUUGAGUGAGCGAGAAGUAUGCGGAAUGCGUGGUGUAGCGGUGAAAUGCAUAGAUAUCACGCAGAACUCCGAUUGCGAAGGCAGCAUACCGGCGCUCAACUGACGCUCAUGCACGAAAGUGUGGGUAUCGAACAGGAUUAGAUACCCUGGUAGUCCACACAGUAAACGAUG